CACAACGCUCCUCAGAUAGGGCACUCCCCCAGCAGGGGUACAGCUUGGCUCCGGGACCUCGGUCCCGCCGAGGCUGGCUUCAGUUUCUGAAUUUGCCCACCAGUGGCUUCGAGGGCCAAGCCCCCAGGCCCUGCUGGUCCAGGAGGAGAGACAGCUGCCUGCGAGCCUCCUGGCCCAGUAUGGCGAGCGCUCGUCCAACAGGAGGUCAAAGCCGGCGCUCACCAACGCUGCGCAGCGCUGCUCAUGGGUCAGGAUGUUCUCUGCGCCAGGGCGAGAGACUGCAGGUAGAAGGGGGCCCACGCCUCUCCCCUCGACACUACAAGCCUGGGUCCGGGAAUGCUCACCUACCUACGCUCAGGGGGGCCAGUGGAGGCCGGCUGGAGGUCUGGGGGGACUCUGAAAGAGGCAAGGAGGGCGGGCUGGUGUGGGUGCCAAGGCCCACCCUCCGUCCCUCAGGAAGCCAAGGAGGCGGGGAGAGGAAGUUUUCAUCUUCCAGACACAGGACAUUACACGAGCUGCUCUUCUAGCGGUCCCUACCCCCGGUGUCCCCAGAGGACGUGAAAGCAGGGACCGGCACAUGUACCCCGCCCCAGCUCCCUGCAGGUGACGUCCUGAUGCUCAGAUGGUUUGUACAGCAACCCACCUCCUGCUCACACGCACAGCCACUUCCGCCUCCCCACGGGACUGCCAGCCUCAGUCCUCUUGUCCCCAGCUGCGGCUCAGCUGCCUGGCCCUCCCUCCAUUACCUGGGUUCUCCAGCUGACUCCGGAUGUAGCAGAGGGCAGAGAGCGCUGCCUGCUGUUUGGCCUCCGUCUUGCUAUUCGCAGUGCCCGCAGGGCAGACCACCCCAUCCAGUUCCGCGCUCACCGAGAAGGGGAAGCAGGGACCUGGGGAAGGAGCCAGGUGAGGAAGCAGCCCCCUGGCCUUCGCCCUGUGACAGCAGGCUCCAUCGCCACCCCAUGCCGCGCACACCCUUGAGUGCCUCUGCAGGCUGUGACCCAUCGCUGAUUCAACCAAGUCCUCACCCAACUCCUCCACAGCAGGGAUGCGUGACUCCAUUUCACAGAUGAGCAGAAACGGCAGGCGGUUUGCCCAACUUGAGUCAGGACCCAAAUCCAGGUCCCCUCUCCAGAGCCCACGCCACCCUGUUCUCAGGAGGAAGGCUCUGAGCACUUCCACCUGCCACAGACACAUUGCUUUCAAUUCCUCUCCUCCAGGGGCUCUAUAUUUGAACACUUUUCCUAUGAAACAGUAUCAUUUUGGGUGUUACUUAUAACACAAAAGAGAGAUGAAAAAUCUGGAACUGGGAUCACAUGGUCAAAGGUGCAGGGUUAAUUUCACAGUACUUGCUGCUAAAUUGUUUCUCCCAAGGACUGCCCCUCUGGGGGUUUCCCUUUUGGAAGGGAACCCAUUUCAGCACUCCCCACUGCGCUGAGAUCUGUCUGCUCUAAACAGGCAUCAAAACCAGCAACCACAGACAGACGUGGAAGGGAUGUUGGCCUUAGAAAGCCAGCAUGUGGCUGCCAUCCUAACAGCGACUGAAUCUGGGGAGAACCAUCAAAGCAUGAUUUUCUAAAACCACAAGUGACAAUGUUAUAGGGACAGGAUAUCUACAUGAUCUCCAAAUGCCUCCCCUGGAUGACUUAUUCAGCACAAAGGAGAAAGUGAAGACACCUGGUAGAUGCCACCCUAGUCAAAUCCCCACAGCUCGCAUCGCCAGGGGACAAAGCAAGAUCGCACACUUCCUGGUGAGAUGCGUGCCAAAGACUCGACAUCACUUCAAUAACACAUCACCUGAACUCAGUUCUGAGGAAACAGACAAACCCAAGCUGAAGGACAUUCGCAAAACUACUGGCCCUUACUCUUCAAAGACAUCAAUGUUGUGAAAGACAAAGACAGGAACUGUUUCAGGUAAGAGAUUAAAGAGGCAUGACAGCUAACUGUAAUGUCAUACUGGGAUGGGAAACAAUGGCCAUGAGGUCAUUACUGGGACAACUGGCAAAAUUUGAAUGUGAAUAGAAAUUAGAAGAUGGUAUUAUAUCAAUGUUAAAUUUCCAGGAUUUGAUAAUUGUAUUGUAGUUACAUAAGAGAUGCCCUUGUUUUUAAGAAAUAUAGAUGAGGCCGGGCACAGUGGCUCACUCCUGUAAUCCCAGCACUUUGUGGGGCUGAGGACAGGAACUCAAGACCAGCAUGGCCAACACGGUGAAACCCCAUCUCUAUUAAAACACAAAAAAAUUAGCUGGGCACGGGGGCACAAGUCUGUCAUUCCAGCUACUCGGGAGGCUGAGGCGCAAGAAUCGUUUGAAUUCGAAAGGCAAAGGUUGCAGUGAGUUGAGAUCUCACCACUGCACUCCAGCCUGGGCCACAGAGCGAGACUCUGUCUCAAAGGAAAAAAAAAAAGAGGGCUGGGCAAGGUGGCUCUAACCUAUAAUCCCAGCACUUUGGGAGGCCAAGGCGGGCGGAUCACUAGAGGUCAGGAGUUUGAGACCAGCCUGGCCAACAUGGUGAAACCCCAUCUGUACUAAAAAUACAAAAAUAAAUUAGCCGGGCUUGGUGUGGACACCUGUAAUCCCAGCUACUCAGGAGGCUGAGGUAGGAGAAUCACUUGAACUUGGGAGGCAGAGGUUGCAGUGGGCUGAGAUAGUGCCACUGAACUCCAGCCUGGGCCACAAGAGUGAAACUCCAUCUC
ensembl:lncRNA novel transcript, antisense to ADAD2